rnacentral:rRNA from 1 species
GUUAGGAAUAUUGGACAAUGGGCGCAAGCCUGAUCCAGCCAUGCCGCGUGAGUGAUGAAGGCCUUCGGGUUGUAAAGCUCUUUAGCCGAUGAUUAUAAUGACUGUAGUCGGAAAAUAAGCCCCGGCUAACUUCGUGCCAGCAGCCGCGGUAAUACGAAGGGGGCGAGCGUUAUUCGGAAUCACUGGGCGUAAAGCGUGCGUAGGCGGCUUUGCAAGUUGGGAGUGAAAGCCCAGGGCUCAACCCUGGAAUUGCUCUCAAAACUGCAAGGCUCGAAUUCGGGAGAGGAUAGCGGAAUUGUCAGUGUAGCAGUGAAAUGCGUAGAUAUUGACAGGAACACCAGUGGCGUAAGCGGCUAUCUGGACCGAUAUUGACGCUGAGGCACGAAAGCGUGGGGAUCAAACAGGAUUAGAAUCCCGGGUAGUCC